GAGAGCCCCAUCCCUGCACAGGGACCCCCAGUCUGAGCUGAGUAAAGAGCCAUAUAAGCCAGCCAUAGCCACCUCCAAGGGGAACUCGUUUUCAUACUUGGGAACAGACUGAAGGGAGGAUUUUAUCUAAGAGAUAAGGUGUGAUGGAUCCUCAGCGGCUCAUCCCAUGCCCCUAUGACAAAAAUCACCAGAUCCGAGCUUCCAGGUUCCCCUACCACUUGGUCAAAUGCAAAGAGGCAAGAGCAAGCUACCCAGUGGGACAGAGUCUGAGGUGCCCAGAGGAGAUGGCCACCUGUCUUUGUUCCCUGCAACUAUUUUCCUCUGCCUCCAGUGCAAACCCCAAAUGGGAAAUAACUGCCUAGGAAGGAGCACUGCAGAAAAGGAUCUGGGGUUUAUAGUGGAUCACAGACUAAAUAUGAGUUACAAUGUAAUACUAUUCUGCGAUGUAAUAGCAGGAGUGUUUUUGUAAGCAAGACAAAAAAUAACAAGAAAAGAGCCAAAGAGCUGGCCACGUGCCCCUACAAUGCUCGCCACAAAGUCCCAAAGCAGGAGCUCCAGCUGCACAGACAACCAGGAACCAGAGCUGUUCAGUGGUAAGCUGGGCGGUUGGUGGUGCAAGGGGUGCGAAGCUGGCACACGCCUGCUCUAAUACAUGUCUGCUCCUGCUGACUGACUUGACCUGCCCCGGCCUAGGGAGGCUGGUCUAGGUCAUUUUGCGCUGGACACCAGCACAAGCCCCAAGCAAUCUGUAGCUCACGUGAUGAGUGCAGGGUAUGCACACAACUACUGUGGGUGCACUGGCUCUGAGCGCUGUUGCCCAGCACAUCCCUCUGUAACAUCACAGUGCUGGUCUAAGGGGUUGUCAGGAUCGGAAUGGACCUCAGGUCAUCUAGUCCAACCCCCUGCUCAAAGCAGGACCAAUCCCCAGACAGAUUUUUUUUGUCCCAGUUCCCUAAAUGGGCCCCCUCAAGGAUUGAACUCACAACCCUGGGUUUA